rnacentral:rRNA from 1 species
AGUGAACGCUGGCGGUAGGCCUAACACAUGCAAGUCGAACGGCAGCACAGUAAGAGCUUGCUCUUACGGGUGGCGAGUGGCGGACGGGUGAGGAAUACAUCGGAAUCUACUUUUUCGUGGGGGAUAACGUAGGGAAACUUACGCUAAUACCGCAUACGACCUACGGGUGAAAGCAGGGGAUCUUCGGACCUUGCGCGAUUGAAUGAGCCGAUGUCGGAUUAGCUAGUUGGCGGGGUAACGGCGCACCAAGGCGACGCUCCGGAGCUGGUCUGAGAGGAUGAUCCGCCACACUGUAACAGAGACACGGUCCAGACUCCGACGGGAGGAAGCAGUGGGGAAUAUUGGACGAUGGGCGCAAGCCUGAUCCAGCCAUACCGCGUGGGUGAAGAAGGCCUUCGGGUUGUAAAGCCCUUUUGUUGGGAAAGAAAAGCAGCAGGUUAAUACCCCGCUGUUCUGACGGUACCCAAAGAAUAAGCACCGGCUAACUUCGUG